CAGCGUCCAAUCAGAUCGAUUAGAAGCAGAAAUGAACCCAGACAAGAAGCUUCAUGGCUGCUGUUAGCGAUGUAGCUUUAGCAUCUCUGGUUCCAACAAUGAGAACGCACCGCUAACCUCAGAGCCACGAAACGUCGCCUCAGCAAAACCAGCUGGAGGAAACGAUUCUCCAGAGACGUGUGUGUGUGUACGGUUCAGAACCGUCUCACAUCAGUGAUGAUGAAAGAAGCUGCUGAUGCAGCACAGAUAGCAGGUUUAACAGAGGACUUACACACACACACACGCCUGCAGACCUGGUUGUGUGUGUUCUCCCAGCAGCGUCUCUGUGUGAGUGAGGAAGAGGAGCAACUGUUAUGUUUAAUCUGAUGUUCAUUUCUGCUCUUUAACCUCCUCUGUGCAGCAAAUGAUCAGAAACUGAUUAGUGCGGCUGACUAAAGCAGCUGAGAGUCUGGGUUGUUCUGAUGAAUGAAGGUUUCUAACACGGCACCGCCUCAGGACUUCCUGCAGUCGACAUGUUUAGCUUUUAGCUCUCAGUUCAUGUUUUGGCCAACUGAACAUUUAGAAAUAAAAAUCAUCAAACUUUCAGAAAUCGACUCAUGAAGUGAAGCUUUUUGAGGUUUUAUUCUCAUUUAUGUCAGUUUUUAAAUGUUCAGCUGAUAGUUUAGUAAUGGAGCGAAGCUCACUGACCUGCAAUCGGCGGCAACUGUUUGGGGUCAGAUGGCUUCAUAAAACCAGAGAAACGUUUCAUUGUUCAGUCUGUCUGAGAAAUGUUGCUCUGCAGAAACUGUAAAACUUUUUCUGCUCCAGCCUGCUUCAUGUUUGACAGACAGGAAGCCACGCCCCUCCGGCUCUCUCUAAGCCACGCCCCCUGUAGCAUCAUGAGCCAGUCUUUGGCCACGCCCCUUUAAGCCACGCCCCCUGUUGUUCUGUAAUCCCAGCCUCCUCUCUCCGUGUUGCCUGGAGGUGAAAAGUUUAAUCUCUGUUUCACCGCUGCAGCUCUGACAUCAUCAGGAAGUUUUUUUGCUUUAUCCUGGGGGAAGUUUGAGGAGGAAUUAAUAAUCUGUAGUCCUGCAUCAGGUUAUCGCUUUGGCUGUCCUGACGCAGUGCAUGCUGGGUAAAACCUGCAUCUGCUUUCAGGCGAUGGGACGCUCAGGGUCUGGGAUGUGAAGGCCGCUGCGUGCCGAUUGGCUGUUCCUGCUCACAAAGCUGAGAUCCUGAGCUGUGAUUGGUGCAAAUACGACCAGAAUCUGGUGGCUACAGGAUCAGUGGACUGCAGCGUGUGUGUGUGGGACCUGAGGAACGUCACACAGCCUGUCAGUCAGCUGCUGGGACACAGCUACGCCAUCCGCAGGGUCAAGUUCUCCCCAUUCAGUCGGACCGUUCUGGCCUCCUGCUCCUACGACUUCACCGUCCGGUAAGUUCCGAUUCCGGUCCGGGUCGGGUUCCGGUUGCGGUUCUGUUUUAGACGUCUGAAAGAAGCGCAGCCUUUAAACC